rnacentral:ncRNA from 1 species
CCGUUUCUCGGGUUCUGGCAAUGGCCCUCGGAUAAAGCCGGAACCUUUUUUGGCCGACCUUCGCCGGUCGGCCACUUUCUA